CAGGUUUGGUGUAUUUGUGGAACAGGACAAUCACGUCCUCACCUUCUCCUCACUGCCUCCUCAUCAGCUUUGCUUCCUUGAAAACCAAGAUGAGCCAUACUCCAGUUGAACAGUCCGUGAUGGACUUGAUUGUCCCGUUCCACAAAUACACAAAAUCUGAUGACAUGAUUGACAAGCCGGGCCUGCUGAAGAUGCUGAAGGAGAAUUUCCCAAACUUCCUCAAGGCUUGUCUCAGGUGACCAGGGAUUUUGACCUCUGACCUCAUGUUCCUGUGGGGAUCAGCCACCCUGUCUGGUGAGGUAUGUGGAAAGGGCCCAGGGCAGUCUCUGGUUGUGAAAGUCUUGGGUGUUUAAGGAAUAAGUAGGGGAUGAGCCCAUGUUUCAGGGACCAACUUCAAAACAGCCCUGUUUAUUGUCAGAGAAAUUACUGUUUGCAACAAUUGUGACUAACAGCCAAGUCCACCCCAGCAUCUCCCAUAUAACUCACCACCACCAGAAAGGCUGAAGGUAUCUUGCAAUCCCUGAACCAAAAUUCCUUUGGCAACACAUGCUACACAUCCAGGUCAGUCACUUGGAACCAUGUCGCAAGCAUUUACUGUUUAUCCUGAGCCUCUCUUUCAUUCAUCCCAAUGGAUUCUGGACCCCAGCUGUCCUUGGCUGUUUGGAGCUGAGAUCUGUACCAUUUGUUCAAGGUACAAAAUUUAAUGAGAGCCCACUGAGCACCACUCACUGUACUUUAGGAUGAACAUAAUGGCAAGAAAAAUUUUUAAAGAAUUUAUCUCCCCCUCAAUUCUCCCACUUUAGAAGUGAAGAUAAAAAGAAUAAAAUAGAAACUGUGGAUGUUGGAGAUGUACAAUGACACAGUCUAUAACCCAAGAAGAGAGGGUUAACUUUUGGGGGAGGAGAGAUGGAUAGGCCAAGGAAUUAAAAUAAAUUGGGCCCAGCUAGCAUGGCUCAGUGGUUGAGCAUCAACCUAUGAAC